UUCGUCUGUGUCUAUAACAACU
rnacentral:siRNA from 1 species